UACAGAGGGUGCGAGCGUUGUCCGGAAUCACUGGGCGUAAAGGGCGCGUAGGCGGUCUGGUAAGCGUGUGGUGAAAGCUCGGGGCUCAACCCCGAGUCGGCCGUGCGAACUGCUGGACUGGAGCAUGUCAGAGGCAGGCGGAAUUCCGGGUGUAGCGGUGGAAUGCGUAGAGAUCCGGAAGAACACCGGUGGCGAAGGCGGACUGCUGGGACAUGGCUGACGCUGAGGCGCGACAGCGUGGGGAGCAAACAGG
rnacentral:rRNA from 1 species